rnacentral:rRNA from 1 species
UACGUAGGGGGCAAGCGUUGUCCGGAUUUAUUGGGCGUAAAGCGCUCGCAGGUGGUUCGUCGCGUCGGCUGUGAAAUCCCGAGGCUCAACCUCGGGUCUGCAGUCGAUACGGGCGGACUGGAGUUCGGCAGGGGAGACUGGAAUUCCUGGUGUAGCGGUGAAAUGCGCAGAUAUCAGGAGGAACACCGGUGGCGAAGGCGGGUCUCUGGGCCGAUACUGACGCUGAGGAGCGAAAGCGUGGGGAGCGAACAGG